AGGUGUGGGGGAUUUAAUUAAUUAAGUAGUUUGCUGUGUUUGGAGCUGGGGCUUGAGUGCAGCAGUCUGCAGGAGAGAAGUCCUCAAGCAUUUGUUGUUGAUUGCUCUGCAAAUACUUUGCCAAGUCCACUUCUGGUUCUGCUGCUGAGCAUGCUGGAGAGCCCCCCGUGCUCCUGUGAGAUGCCCCAUCCACCCCACUAGCUCAACGCUCACGAGCUGUACCUGGGACCUCAAGGAUGCUGAUUCUACACAAGUGGCCUCCCUUUGGACAAUUCUAGAUUUAGGAGAUUAACAGAUCCCCAAAUAUGUGGAAUUCAGUUCUCUUCCUCUUCCACUUCUUCCAGAAGACCACCUUCCUUUGAGUGUUGCUGCAGGAAAGUUUCUUCAAGGCCCACUGUGUCUGACAGGCAAGCAGAAACAGGCUGGGAAAUUCCACAUGCUGACAGGGCAGAACGUGGACAACACAAUGACCAGAGACCAAUCACCGAUGCCCAAAAAUGAAGAAUCAUCAGAGGGGGUAAAGGAUACAAAAAGAGGAGAUUUCAGAGCAGCGAAGGGUCCCUAGGAAGGGAACCUGAGGCCACCAUGGACAGAGGGCAUACCACCAGCCUGUCUUAUCCACCCCACAGCGGGGGGUCCUCAGCUUCCAACGUCCGGGCUGCUGACAUCUCUCAUUCAAGAGAGAACUUCAGAGUGAAGCUUGUGUACUGGCCAGAUGUACCAUGACUCUGUGAACCCUGGGACUGGUAGAUACAGAGGUGUUUGCUUUAUUCUUAUCUGCUAUCACUGUGUAUCAAUACAAUGUGCCUAUUAUCAAAUGGCAAGGUUGUGGUCAGUCUGAGGGUUUGGGUGUGGUGAGUCGGUAGAUGGUGCUCCUGCACUGAGCCACCCACCUCACUGCUCCCAACCACCUUCCAGGCUCCGAGUGCCUCCCUGGGGGCAGCCCACAUCUAGCCGACCCCCUUCCUGAAGCACACCUGCUUGCCUGGGGGUAGUGCUGUCAACACCCAGGGUCUGGCGUGAUCCUGGUUCUGUGUCCCCUGGGAAACACAGGUCUAGUAGCCCUCGAGGGUACGUGACUCACUUCAAGAACUUGAGGUUCCCCCCUCACUAUGAAGCACCAAUAGUGGUCUCCCUUAGGCAGCCGAACCAAGGAGGGGGGACGGACCCUAAGGCCUAAUCUAGACCCACUCCCAAUAAGUCUCCCAUGCUAGGUACAAAGGAGAACUUUAUUGGUUACAAGAAGUAGGCUUGGAAUGGGGUACAGUGUGGAGCAGUAUCAGAGAAAUCCCUUAGAGCAAACAGGGGUAGCCUUUGAUCAUGCAUCUGAGUUACUUGAAGCUAUAUAUCUGGUUAGAUCUCAGGUAACUUACUCACGAGCAUCCUCCAGAGGCAGGUGGAGAUUUUCUCUAGAGGCAGGCUGUUCAUUGAUCAUGAGUUUCAAGAGGGGAGCCAGUUUAAGAUGGCCCAGCUCUUCUCUCUGAGUUUUCCUUAUGGCUACAACCCUCCUCCUGAGCAGUUCUUCACUUAUAUAGCCCUUACGACCUCAUUUACCUGGUCCAAUGGAGGCCAGCACCUGUUGGCUGCCAGCAAACCCUUUGGAAAUGCAUCAGUGGCUGCCAGGCAAACUGGCAGGGUCUCUAGCCCCCUCCCGGCCAGGUUGGCAUUACUUAGAAGAAGAGGGAGCAUAUGCCCUUCACCCGGGGAGGUGAUGUCACUUAGGCAGAGGGAGCAGGUUUCCUCCUUCCCUUAGGAAUGUCUCAAACUCAGGUUCCCUAAGGGGAUGGGAUGUCUGUCCCCUGCAGGGCCCAUGUUAACCACACUGUCGCAGAACAGAGCUUUUGGGAAGAGACAGAGGUGGCAUUCUGUCACGCACAGUAUCUAUCUGGGUCAUAAAUCCAGUGCCAACCCCUUCCUCUGCCAGAGAGCCUGUAGGUGAGGCUUGGUAAGUCAUGUAAGAAAAACUCUAAUAAAUGAUCAUAGAAUCAUAGAUCCAAAAGAGACCUCAGCAGGUUAACCAGUCCCAACCCCCUGCCCCAAGUAGAAUUUGCCAUGAGUAAACCAACCCAGCUAAGUGUUUGUGUAACCUGGUCUUAAAAACUGCCAAGGAUAGAGAUUCAACAACUUCUCCGGUUACCCUGUUCUGAUGCUUACCCACUUAAAUAGUGGGAAAGUCCCUCCUAAUAUGCAACCUAUUGACCCAAUAUGUGUGUUCUGUAUUUUGGGGGCGCUCACUUUUAAAUGUCGCAGAUCAGAUUGACCAGAGCCUUUGCAAUGGAGAAUGGGAGCUCCAUUCUGAACAUAGCAUGUGCUGUAAAAUGAAUCAGGAGCUCAGAAAAAUCAAGCCCUAGACUUCUCAACAGGGAUAAGUGGCUUUUUCUGGAUAAUUGUAUCUGUGGGUCUCUGCAUGUUUAGGAAAUCCCUGUGUACGAUAGGUAUACAAUUGGUCUGUUGGGAAGAGAAAUUCAUCAGUGUUUGUAAAAGACUUAGACACUAUGAUGACAGCACCAUGGAAAAACCUAGUCGGUGACAACAAAAACUGUUGGAUAGCCACUACUUUAGCCAUAAUUGUCUGUCCUAGGCAAAAAUUAAGCAAGAAGUCCUGUGAAAAAAACAUGACUAUUUCAUUUCCAGCAACACACAUUAUUUACCACACAGUAUUUAAAACCUCCAUUGAAUAUAGAAUUAAUCAAAUGCACACAUUCAUGAGGACAGAAGUACAAUGCAAUAGCAUGUAAUGCCAGUUGCAGAAAUUGUGUGAAAUUUUUAAUAAGGAAAGUUGGUGUGCAGAAACUAAUUAAAUACCAUGCAUUUUCACUUUUCUUUCUCUAUAAUAUCACAGGAAAAAUCCACAUUAGGGACUA